GACCCAUAGGCUGAGAACUUCUGCU
rnacentral:piRNA from 1 species